UUUCCCCUCUACCGGUCUAUCGAACAGCCAACCCAAAAUAUCACUCCGGCCAGUGUACCACCCAGCACACAACUCACCGUCCACCGACGAAACGGCAAUCAGCCAUCUUUUGAGAGACCAAUGGGACUUUGUAAAAAAGUAGCUAAAUUGCUCAUGUAGAGAAGAAGUUGGGCUUGUGGUCAUUAGAGACGUCGACGAGGGCUAUGGUAGGAGAAGAAUAAAGAAGAUGUAGUCAGUAAUGGAGAGAGGAGUGGCGGGAGGAAGAUGGAUGAAAGGUCUUGGGUUGUUGUAGAUUUUGGUUUCUGAGCAAA
rnacentral:lncRNA from 1 species